UGGUCGUUCGUCUAACGGUAGGACACCGGACUUUGACUCCGGGUGCAAUGGUUCAAAUCCAUUACGACCAGCCA
rnacentral:tRNA from 1 species